rfam:Ornithorhynchus anatinus chromosome 2, whole genome shotgun sequence.
AGCAGAGUAGACUAGUGGAAAGAGCACAGUCUUGGGAGUCAGAGGACCUGGGUUCUAAUCCCAGCUCUGCCA